CACCGCGGUUAGACGAGAGGCCCUAGUUGAUAUUGUAACGGCGUAAAGGGUGGUUAGGUCUAAUACAAAAAUAAAGCCGAAUGGCCCCUCGGUUGUUAUACGCUUCUAGGCGUCCGAAGACCAAUUUUUUAAACGAAAGUAGCUUUAACAAACUAGCCCGACCCCACGAGAACUAAGAAA
rnacentral:rRNA from 1 species